GAUGAACGCUGGCGGCGUGCCUAAUACAUGCAAGUCGAGCGAACAGACGAGGUGCUUGCUCCUCUGACGUUAGCGGCGGACGGGUGAGUAACACGUGGAUAACCUACCUAUAAGACUGGGAUAACUUCGGGAAACCGGAGCUAAUACCGUAUAAUAUAUUGAACCGCAUGGUUCAAUAGUGAAAGACGGUUUUGCUGUCACUUAUAGAUGGAUCCGCGCCGCAUUAGCUAGUUGGUAAGGUAACGGCUUACCAAGGCAACGAUGCGUAGCCGACCUGAGAGGGUGAUCGGCCACACUGGAACUGAGACACGGUCCAGACUCCUACGGGAGGCAGCAGUAGGGAAUCUUCCGCAAUGGGCGAAAGCCUGACGGAGCAACGCCGCGUGAGUGAUGAAGGUCUUCGGAUCGUAAAACUCUGUUAUUAGGGAAGAACAGAUGUGUAAGUAACUAUGCACGUCUUGACGGUACCUAAUCAGAAAGCCACGGCUAACUACGUG
rnacentral:rRNA from 1 species